rnacentral:rRNA from 1 species
GACAGAGGAUGCAAGCGUUAUCCGGAAUGAUUGGGCGUAAAGAGCUCGUAGGCGGUUUGUCGCGUCGGCUGUGAAAGCCCGGAGCUCAACUCCGGGUCUGCAGUCGAUACGGGCAGACUUGAGUGUUGCAGGGGAGACUGGAAUUCCGUGGUGUAGCGGUGAAAUGCGCAGAUAUCAAGGAGGAACACCGGUGGCGAAGGCGGGUCUCUGGGCAACAACGUGACGCUGGAGGAGCGAAAGCGUGGGGAGCGAACAGG